GAGUUUGAUCCUGGCUCAGGACGAACGUUGGCGGUGCGCUUUAUGCAUGCAAGUCGAGCGAGAAGCGUUGGUUCCGUAAGGUUCCGACGUGGAAAGCGGCGAACGGGUGCGUAACACGUGAGAAACCUGCCCCCCAGACCGGGAUAGCCCAGGGAAACUUGGAUUAAUACCGGAUGCUCUCUCCGGACCGCAUGGUCUGGUGAGGAAAGGUCCGCUGCUGGGGGAUGGUCUCGCGGCCUAUCAGGUAGUUGGUGAGGUAACGGCUCACCAAGCCGAAGACGGGUAGCUGGUCUGAGAGGACGAUCAGCCACACUGGAACUGAGACACGGUCCAGACUCCUACGGGAGGCAGCAGCAGGGAAUAUUGCACAAUGGGCGAAAGCCUGAUGCAGCGACACCGCGUGCGGGAUGAAGGCCUUCGGGUUGUAAACCGCUUUCAGGAGGGAAGAAACUGACGGUACCUCCAGAAGAAGGCCCGGCCAACUACGUGCCAGCAGCCGCGGUAAUACGUAGGGGCCAAACGUUGUCCGGAUUUAUUGGGCGUAAAGGGCUCGUAGGCGGUUCAACAAGUCGGUCGUGAAAGCCCGGGGCUCAACUCCGGGACGCCGGUCGAAACUGUUGUGACUUGAGUUCGGUAGAGGUGAGUGGAAUUUUCGGUGUAGCGGUGGAAUGCGCAGAUAUCGAGAGGAACACCAUUAGCGAAGGCGGCUCAUCGGGCCGAUACUGACGCUGAGGAGCGAAAGCGUGGGGAGCAAACAGGAUUAGAUACCCUGGUAGUC
rnacentral:rRNA from 1 species